rnacentral:rRNA from 1 species
GUCCUGGCCAACGGGUUAACGAUUCGCCCUUCCUACCGGGGCAGCCAGUGGGGAAUAUUGCACCAUUGAAGAAACUCCGAUGCAGCGACGCCCGCUGAGUGAAGAAGUCUUCGAUCGUAAACUCUGUCCUGGUGAAGAAAAGAAAUGACGUAGCCAAGGAGGAGCCCUGGCUAACUACGUGCCAGCAGCCGCGGUAAUACGUAGGGGGCGAGCGUUGUCCGGGAUUUACUGGGCGUAAAGGGUGAGUAGGCGGUAAUAUGUGUCAGAUGUAAAAGGCUAUGGCUUAACUAUAGUUGGCAUUUGAAACUGUAUUACUUGAGUGCAGGAGAGGUAAGUGGAAUUCCUAGUGUAGCGGUGAAAUGCGUAGAUAUUAGGAGGAACACCAGUGGCGAAGGCGACUUACUGGACUGUAACUGACGCUGAGUCACGAAAGCGUGGGUAGCAAACAGGAUUAGAUACCCUGGUAGUCCACGCUGUAAACGAUGAGUGCUAGGUGUUGGGUAGCGAUAUUCAGUGCCGAAGUUAACACAAUAAGCACUCCGCCUGGGGAGUACGGUCGCAAGACUGAAACUCAAAGGAAUUGACGGGGACCCGCACAAGCAGCGGAGCAUGUGGUUUAAUUCGAAGCAACGCGAAGAACCUUACCAAGGUUUGACAUCCCCUUGACAGAUGCAGAGAUGUGUCCUCUCCUUCGGGAGCAAGGGAGACAGGUGGUGCAUGGUUGUCGUCAGCUCGUGUCGUGAGAUGUUGGGUUAAGUCCCGCAACGAGCGCAACCCUUAUCAUUAGUUGCCAGCAGGUUAAGCUGGGCACUCUAAUGAGACUGCCGGUGAUAAACCGGAGGAAGGUGGGGAUGACGUCAAAUCAUCAUGCCCCUUAUAUCUUGGGCUACACACGUGCUACAAUGGUCGGUACAACGGGCAGCGAAAGAGUGAUCUGGAGCAAAUCCCAAUAAACCGACCCCAGUUCGGAUUGUAGGCUGCAACUCGCCUACAUGAAGUUGGAGUUGCUAGUAAUCGCGAAUCAGAACGUCGCGGUGAAUGCGUUCCCGGGUCUUGUACACACCGCCCGUCACACCAUGGAAGUUGGUAAUACCCAAAGUCGCUGAGCUAACCGUAAGGGGGCAGGCGCCUAUAGGUAGGAUCAAUGACUGGGGUGAAGUCGUAACAAGGUAACCAAGGGCGAAUCGCGCCGCUAUC